GAUCCUGGCUCAGGAUGAACGCUGGCGGCGUGCUUAACACAUGCAAGUCGAACGAAGCACUUUAUUUGAUUUCUUCGGAAUGAGGAUUUUGUGACUGAGUGGCGGACGGGUGAGUAACGCGUGGGUAACCUGCCUCAUACAGGGGGAUAACAGUUGGAAACGACUGCUAAUACCGCAUAAGCGCACAGGACCGCAUGGUCUGGUGUGAAAAACUCUGGUGGUAUGAGAUGGACCCGCGUCUGAUUAGCCAGUUGGCGGGGUAACGGCCCACCAAAGCGACGAUCAGUAGCCGACCUGAGAGGGUGACCGGCCACAUUGGGACUGAGACACGGCCCAAACUCCUACGGGAGGCAGCAGUGGGGAAUAUUGCACAAUGGGGGAAACCCUGAUGCAGCGACGCCGCGUGAGCGAAGAAGUAUUUCGGUAUGUAAAGCUCUAUCAGCAGGGAAGAAGAAUGACGGUACCUGACUAAGAAGCACCGGCUAAAUACGUG
rnacentral:rRNA from 1 species